UACGUAGGGUGCGAGCGUUGUCCGGAAUUAUUGGGCGUAAAGAGCUCGUAGGCGGUGUGUCACGUCGGCCGUGAAAACCUGGGGCUCAACUCUGGGCGUGCGGUCGAUACGGGCAUCACUAGAGUUCGGUAGGGGAGACUGGAAUUCCUGGUGUAGCGGUGAAAUGCGCAGAUAUCAGGAGGAACACCGGUGGCGAAGGCGGGUCUCUGGGCCGAUACUGACGCUGAGGAGCGAAAGCAUGGGGAGCGAACAGG
rnacentral:rRNA from 1 species